rnacentral:rRNA from 1 species
AGAGUUUGAUCAUGGCUCAGGACGAACGCUGGCGGCGUGCCUAAUACAUGCAAGUCGAACGACACUUUCUUACACCGAAUGCUUGCAUUCACCGUAAGAAGUUGAGUGGCGGACGGGUGAGUAGCACGUGGGUAACCUGCCUAAAAGAAGGGGAUAACACUUGGAAACAGGUGCUAAUACCGUAUAUCUCUAAGGAUCACAUGAUCCUUAGAUGAAAGAUGGUUCUGCUAUCGCUUUUAGAUGGACCCGCGGCGUAUUAACUAGUUGGUGGGGUAACGGCCUACCAAGGUGAUGAUACGUAGCCGAACUGAGAGGUUGAUCGGCCACAUUGGGACUGAGACACGGCCCAAACUCCUACGGGAGGCAGCAGUAGGGAAUCUUCCACAAUGGACGCAAGUCUGAUGGAGCAACGCCGCGUGAGUGAAGAAGGUCUUCGGAUCGUAAAACUCUGUUGUUAGAGAAGAACACGAGUGAGAGUAACUGCUCAUUCGAUGACGGUAUCUAACCAGCAAGUCACGGCUAACUACGUGCCAGCAGCCGCGGUAAUACGUAGGUGGCAAGCGUUGUCCGGAUUUAUUGGGCGUAAAGGGAACGCAGGCGGUCUUUUAAGUCUGAUGUGAAAGCCUUCGGCUUAACCGGAGUAGUGCAUUGGAAACUGGAAGACUUGAGUGCAGAAGAGGAGAGUGGAACUCCAUGUGUAGCGGUGAAAUGCGUAGAUAUAUGGAAGAACACCAGUGGCGAAAGCGGCUCUCUGGUCUGUAACUGACGCUGAGGUUCGAAAGCGUGGGUAGCAAACAGGAUUAGAUACCCUGGUAGUCCACGCCGUAAACGAUGAAUGCUAGGUGUUGGAGGGUUUCCGCCCUUCAGUGCCGCAGCU